AGGAUAAACGCUGGCGGCGUGCCUAACACAUGCAAGUCGAACGCGCUUGCUAUCCGCGAGGAGGGUGAGCGAGUGGCGGACGGGUGAGGAACACGUGGGUGACCUACCUUUCAGUGAGGGAUACCGGCGAGAAAUUGCCGACAAGACCGCAUACGCUUCUCUUUUCAAGGGGAGAAGGAAAGCUUUUCGCAAGAGAGGCGCUGGGAGAUGGGCCUGCGGCCGAUUAGCUAGCUGGUGGGGUAAUGGCCUACCAGGGCGACGAUCGGUAGCUGGUCUGAGAGGACGAUCAGCCACACUGGGAUUGAGAACGGCCCAGACUCCUACGGGGGGCAGCAGUGAGGAAUUUUCGGCAAUGGGGGCAACCCUGACCGAGCAACGCCGCGUGCAGGACGACGGCCUUCGGGUUGUAAACUGCUUUUCUCUGGGACGAGCAAGGACGGUACCAGAGGAAGAAGCCCGGACUAACUACGUGCCAGCAGCCGCGGU
rnacentral:rRNA from 1 species